rnacentral:rRNA from 1 species
GUCCAAAGAUGGUGCUAGACCUGUAGGAGUAGUCAAACCGCUUGAUAUUGGUUGUUCCAUUGAGUCGAGUUGUUUGAAAUUGGAGCUCAAAGUAGGUGGUAAACCUCAUCUAAGGCUAAAUAUGACCACGAGACCGAUAGCGAACAAGUACCGUGAGGGAAAGUUGCAAAGAACUUUGAAGAGAGAGUUCAAGAGGGCGUGAAACCGCUUAGAUGGAAGCGGAUAGAGUUAAGAAAACACAGCAGCAAUCAUCCAGUUAGAUGUUGAACGUAUCGGCUGUUGACGCUUACAACCUUACUGUUGCACUUGUGUAGCAGGGGCAGUUUGUCUUCGGCUGGUGGGUACAAUGUUUGACCGGUGCUCUUGCUGUUGUUUUGCAUUGAGGGGCUUGCAGAGGUACGAAAGACUAAACGGAAGAGGCCUACAUUUGAUAAAUGUAGAAACCUUACGUUAGUUUGUUCGCUGUCCUUUGUAAGUUAUGUUUUACAACGUUUGCUGAUAGCGUAAUUCAACUGCAUUGUUGCAAGUGUAGGGUGAUAUGGAUUUGUCGCUUGUCGGCUUGUCCUAUCCUUUGUGUUUGUUUCAAUUGGAGAUUGUUAAUUACUGUAGGCGUUGGCUCCACAGUGUAUACAAAAAGUUAAUCACCUAUCCGACCCGUCUAGAAACACGGACCAAGGAGUUUAGCAUAUAUGCAAGUCAU